rnacentral:lncRNA from 1 species
AUUCCAAACAAAUGUAGGCUGGCUAAACUAUGAAAUUAGCAUUCAAAAUAGAAAGUGGCGUACGAAGUUUGCUUGUAGAGACAGUUACCUAUGAGUUGGCAUGUCUUAUAAAAAAAAAAAAAGAAUGGAUUAGUUAAAGUGACAGCCUAUCCACAUGCAGACUCCUCUUCUUAAUCACAAAUAUCAUAAUUAUUCUUUCCAUAAACACCUUCUCCUUUCUUCACUCAGAGAUUCCAAAUCUAAGACUCUGUAUCCUCUUCCAAGCAAGGUAUUCUGUGUGUGUGUUUGUGUGCCUGUUUUCCUACUAAUGUUUUAAGGUAUCUAUUACAUAAUUAAAUCAUUUCUUUCCUUCUUUCUUUCCGUUAUAUGUAUUGAUGUCUUAAUCAGAAGGGCCUCUAUCUGCAUAUUUGUACUUUGGAUUCAAAAGUUGAUGUUUCAAGGAUCAGCGGUUCUGAUUGUCCCCUUUUCUUCAAAUUGAAUCAAUUCUCAUACCCCAUAAGGAAAUAUUGAUAUAUUUUGAGAUACAGGCUGGUGUUACACCAUAUGUUUUUAGGUGAGCAUUGAACAAAUUGAACUAUGCUCAGCCUAAUGGUAUUGUAGGCAAUCCCGGCUAAGGGCAGCCUCAGAUUUUAUUCGAGAUUCUAUUUCGUAAUUUACAUGUGUUGAGUCGUAUAAAAGAUUCCAAAGAUGUCAUUUUUGCUUGUAAUUCCAUUCUUUCUUGUAGUGUAAAUUCUCUUAUUGAAGGUGAACCACUAAAAAUCGGUAUGCUUUACAUCUUUCUGAUUUUACUUUGUUUGUUAUUGCUAGGGAACUGAAUAGUUAUGGCUGCAGAGGCGCCAAGCUGGGCAGAUCAAUGGGGUGCAGGAGGAAUUGGUGCAAUGGAAGAUGAGAAUACUAAAAGCAACAAAGAAGUGAAUAACAAGAAGAAUACAGGCUCCACUGCAGGACUCGGUAAAGCCAAAGCAGCAGCCAUUUUAGGUGCACAAAAGGUCAAGAAUGGCACAUCAAUGGGCAUCAAGUGGGUCAAAAACAGAUGUCAAAAGAAACCCUCUUCAACAUAAAUAUUAUCAAAGAAAAAAACUCUGCUGUAUUGCUUAGUGAUUCAAAAUUAUGUUCCAUCUGUAUUUUGUCACGUCAAAAAACUCAACACUUGUUUCAUCUAUCAACUCCUUUCUUGAAAUAUUAACUUUAUUCAUAUUUUAUUCUUUUUAAGAAAAAUAAAGAACCCUCCCCGAUUUUACUUGUCGGGUUUGAUUAGGCCUAUUGGUAGUAGAUACAUGUUUGAUACACAACACUACUAGAUUGACGGGGCAAUGUCCAGCUUUUUACAAACACGUCAUAAAUGCUUUCUUAAGUUGAAAUGUGUCGAGGAAUUAAAGGUGGAAGGUGAAAGGGCAAAGGAGGGUUCAGCAUUUUCACGUGAAAACAGUACUGUGAUGUUCUUUGCGACCAAAAUAGGCCAUGGGUGGGGCACCUACUUACAGGUAGAUGCUUCGGGGAUUUCCAACCAAAAAACCAAAAAAUUGAAGUUACAUGCUUCUUGUGAAGAGGGACAUUGGACUUGUAUACGCACAUAUCACAAUCAAGUAGAUAUGACUAGGAAACAACACGCUACAAGAAAGCAAAGCAACGGCCGAAUUGUUAAAUGUAUAUUUAUUGUAUUGAAGCGAACAAGACAACCCGAUAAAUUUUAUCAGUGUAGUCCUUUCUUGAAG